rnacentral:rRNA from 2 species
UGGGGAAUAUUGCACAAUGGGCGCAAGCCUGAUGUAGCCAUGCCGCGUGUAUGAAGAAGGCCUUCGGGUUGUAAAGUACUUUCAGCGGGGAGGAAGGGAGUAAAGUUAAUACCUUUGCUCAUUGACGUUACCCGCAGAAGAAGCACCGGCUAACUCCGUGCCAGCAGCCGCGGUAAUACGGAGGGUGCAAGCGUUAAUCGGAAUUACUGGGCGUAAAGCGCACGCAGGCGGUUUGUUAAGUCAGAUGUGAAAUCCCCGGGCUCAACCUGGGAACUGCAUCUGAUACUGGCAAGCUUGAGUCUCGUAGAGGGGGGUAGAAUUCCAGGUGUAGCGGUGAAAUGCGUAGAGAUCUGGAGGAAUACCGGUGGCGAAGGCGGCCCCCUGGACGAAGACUGACGCUCAGGUGCGAAAGCGUGGGGAGCAAACAGG